UACGAAGGGGGCUAGCGUUGCUCGGAGUUACUGGGCGUAAAGGGAGCGUAGGCGGAUAGUUUAGUCAGAGGUGAAAGCCCAGGGCUCAACCUUGGAAUUGCCUUUGAUACUGGCUAUCUUGAGUACGGAAGAGGUAUGUGGAACUCCGAGUGUAGAGGUGAAAUUCGUAGAUAUUCGGAAGAACACCAGUGGCGAAGGCGACAUACUGGUCCGUUACUGACGCUGAGGCUCGAAAGCGUGGGGAGCAAACAGG
rnacentral:rRNA from 1 species